UACGGAGGGUGCAAGCGUUGUUCGGAAUUAUUGGGCGUAAAGCGCGCGCAGGCGGUCGAAUAAGUCUAUGGGUAAAAGGCCGGGGCUCAACCCCGUGUACGCCCAGGAUACUGUUCGACUGGAGACACGUAGAGGCAAGCGGAAUUUCGGGUGUAGCGGUGGAAUGCGUGGAUAUCCGAAAGAACACCGGAGGCGAAGGCGGCUUGCUGGGCGUGAUCUGACGCUGAGGCGCGAAAGCGUGGGGAGCGAACAGG
rnacentral:rRNA from 1 species